rnacentral:rRNA from 10 species
GCGACCCCAGGUCAGGCGGGGCUACCCGCUGAGUUUAAGCAUAUCAAUAA